rnacentral:snRNA from 13 species
AUACUUGCCUGGCGUAGGGGUUACCGUGAUCAACGAGGUGGUUCCCCCAGGACAAGGCCCUUUCAUUGCAAUACGGUCGGGCUGACCCCUGCGAUUACCCCUAGUGCAGCCGUGGUAGAUUUCCUACGCAUCUC